ACCCGCUGAAUUUAAGCAUAUAAGUAAGUGGUGGAAAUUAAACCAAAUGGGAUUCCUUAAGUAAUUGCGAAUGAACAAGGACAUGCUUAGCUUGACAAUUGGAGCCUCUGGCUUCGACUUGUAUUUUUGAAAUGUAUUACCAACAGAGGUGCAGGUGUCAGCCUAUUGAAAGAAAGCGUCAAUGAGGGUGAGAAUCCUGUUUGUCAUGUGCAAUCCUCUGUGCACGGUGUAUGUUUGCUGAGUCACACUCCUUGGCAUUGGAAUGCAAAGUGGGUGGUAAGUUUCAUGUAAAGGUAAAUAUAGGAUUGAGACUGAUAGCACACAAGUACCAUGAGGGAAAUAUGAAAAGGACUUUGAAAAGAGAAUUAAAUGAGUUUGUAUUUGCUGAACAGAAAAUAAACAGAUUUGAUGUUGCUUGGUGAGAUUGUGGUGCUUGCUUGACAAUAGGUUUUGAUUGUGGGUGUGAUGAUUCUUGCUUUGCUUGCCAGUUUCUAUUUGUACAUUUGAUUACCCUUGCACAUGAAUGGUAAUUUUCCUGCGGGGUUUGGAUUGCAUGUGUUUGUGAUGAUUUGUGUUUUGAUACAUGUGUCUGGUGCUUUUGUAAUUGCUCAUUUCUUGAAGCUGGGCCUACCCUACUAGAGCUUACAAGCCCUGGCACACAAUUGCUGGCAAAAUGCUUCUGCUUGACCCGUCUUGAAACACGGACCAAGGAGUCUAACAGAUGUGCAAGCUUGAGGGUUGCAUACCUUUGUGCGCAAUGAAAGUGUUGGCUGGGAUAUUUGCACCAGCAGCCGACCAAUUAGCAGACAGAGGUUCGAGUUGGAGCAUAUCUAUUAGGACCCGAAAGAUGGUGAACUAUGCCUGAACAGAAUGAAUUCAGAGGAAACUCUGAUGGAGGUUCGUAUCGAUACUGACGUGCAAAUCGUUCGUCAUA
rnacentral:rRNA from 1 species